rnacentral:lncRNA from 1 species
CCAACAAAUGAUCAGGUCCGACUUUGGUCGGCCAACCUAACCACCUAUCAAAGAGACAUGACUGAGUUAUCAUAUUAUAAAUGAUAAUUCUAAUGAUAGAUAAGCACCAAGCCUUUGGGCCUCCAAUGAUUAUUAAACUAAUGGACCCAUUAUCAUCCACCUUAAUAGGAGGCUAUGAUCUAGUUAUCUCCAUAACUAGCUCAUCUUAUGGA